rnacentral:rRNA from 1 species
UAAAUCUAUAAUUUCAAUCCGGCAUCUGACUGACCUUCUCUGGACUCAGACGCUAAGCAGAUCCAGCUUGGUUGGUACUUGAUUGGGAAAUCACCAGGAAUUGUCAGAGCUAUAGGUUAAU